rnacentral:rRNA from 1 species
AGCCGUCCUUGAAAUACCACCCUUGUAGUGUUGAUGUUCUAACGUCGACCCCUUAUCGGGGUUGCGGACAGUGCCUGGUGGGUAGUUUGACUGGGGCGGUCUCCUCCCAAAGCGUAACGGAGGAGCACGAAGGUGGGCUAAUCACGGUUGGACAUCGUGAGGUUAGUGCAAUGGCAUAAGCCCGCUUGACUGCGAGAAUGACAAUUCGAGCAGGUGCGAAAGCAGGUCAUAGUGAUCCGGUGGUUCUGAAUGGAAGGGCCAUCGCUCAACGGAUAAAAGGUACUCCGGGGAUAACAGGCUGAUACCGCCCAAGAGUUCAUAUCGACGGCGGUGUUUGGCACCUCGAUGUCGGCUCAUCACAUCCUGGGGCUGAAGUCGGUCCCAAGGGUAUGGCUGUUCGCCAUUUAAAGUGGUACGCGAGCUGGGUUUAGAACGUCGUGAGACAGUUCGGUCCCUAUCUGCCGUGGGCGUUGGAGAAUUGAAAGGGGCUGCUCCUAGUACGAGAGGACCGGAGUGGACGAACCUCUGGUGUUCGGGUUGUGUCGCCAGACGCAUUGCCCGGUAGCUAAGUUCGGGAUCGAUAACCGCUGAAAGCAUCUAAGCGGGAAGCGAGCCUUGAGAUGAGUUCUCCCUGAUACUUUAAGUAUCCUAAAGGGUUGUCGUAGACUACGACGUUGAUAGGCAGGGUGUGUAAGCGUUGUGAGGCGUUGAGCUAACCUGUACUAAUUGCCCGUGAGGCUUAACCAUACAACACCCAAGGGGUUU